rnacentral:rRNA from 1 species
UACGUAGGGGGCAAGCGUUGUCCGGAUUUAUUGGGCGUAAAGAGCGUGUAGGCGGCCAGGUAGGUCUGCUGUGAAAACUCGAGGCUUAACCUCGAGCUGUCGGCGGAAACCAUCUGGCUAGAGUCCGGAAGAGGAGAAUGGAAUUCCCGGUGUAGCGGUGAAAUGCGCAGAUAUCAAGAGGAACACCUGAGGCGAAGGCGGGUUGCUAGGCUGACACUGACGCUGAGUGCGCGAAAGCCAGGGGAGCAAACGGG